rnacentral:tRNA from 1 species
AGCCUACUUAACUCAAUUGGCAGAGUAUCGGUUUUGUAAACCGACGGUUAUCGGUUCGACUCCGAUAGUAGGCUA